rnacentral:rRNA from 1 species
ACGGGUGAGUAACGCGUGGGUAACCUACCCUGUACACACGGAUAACAUACCGAAAGGUAUGCUAAUACGGGAUAAUAUAUUUGAGAGGCAUCUCUUGAAUAUCAAAGGUGAGCCAGUACAGGAUGGACCCGCGUCUGAUUAGCUAGUUGGUAAGGUAAAGGCUUACCAAGGCGACGAUCAGUAGCCGACCUGAGAGGGUGAUCGGCCACAUUGGAACUGAGACACGGUCCAAACUCCUACGGGAGGCAGCAGUGGGGAAUAUUGCACAAUGGGCGAAAGCCUGAUGCAGCAACACCGCGUGAGUGAUGAAGGCCUUCGGGUCGUAAAACUCUGUCCUCAAGGAAGAUAAUGACGGUACUUGAGGAGGAAGCCCCGGCUAACUACGUGCCAGCAGCCGCGGUAAUACGUAGGGGGCUAGCGUUAUCCGGAUUUACUGGGCGUAAAGGGUGCGUAGGCGGUCUUUCAAGUCAGGAGUGAAAGGCUACGGCUCAACCGUAGUAAGCUCUUGAAACUGGGAGACUUGAGUGCAGGAGAGGAGAGUGGAAUUCCUAGUGUAGCGGUGAAAUGCGUAGAUAUUAGGAGGAACACCAGUUGCGAAGGCGGCUCUCUGGACUGUAACUGACGCUGAGGCACGAAAGCGUGGGGAGCAAACAGGAUUAGAUACCCUGGUAGUCCACGCUGUAAA